rnacentral:rRNA from 1 species
UGGGCAACCUGCCCUCAGCUCUGGGAUAACUCCGGGAAACCGGGGCUAAUACCGGAUACGACCUUCCCUGGCAUCGGGGUUGGUGGAAAGUUCUUCGGCUGAGGAUGGGCCCGCGGCCUAUCAGCUUGUUGGUGGGGUGACGGCCUACCAAGGCGACGACGGGUAGCCGGCCUGAGAGGGCGACCGGCACACUGGGACUGGAGACACGGCCCAGACUCCUACGGGAGGCA